rnacentral:rRNA from 1 species
GCUUAGGGAGGAGCUUGCGUCACAUUAGUUAGUUGGUGGGGUAAAGGCCUACCAAGACUAUGAUGUGUAGCCGGGCUGAGAGGUUGAACGGCCACAUUGGGACUGAGACACGGCCCAAACUCCUACGGGAGGCAGCAGUAGGGAAUUUUCGGCAAUGGAGGAAACUCUGACCGAGCAACGCCGCGUGAACGAUGAAGUAUUUCGGUACGUAAAGUUCUUUUAUUAGGGAAGAAUAAAUGAUGGAAAAAUCAUUCUGACGGUACCUAAUGAAUAAGCCCCGGCUAACUAUGUGCCAGCAGCCGCGGUAAUACAUAGGGGGCAAGCGUUAUCCGGAAUUAUUGGGCGUAAAGGGUGCGUAGGCGGUUAAAUAAGUUUAUGGUCUAAGUGCAAUGCUCAACAUUGUGAUGCUAUAAAAACUGUUUAGCUAGAGUAAGAUAGAGGCAAGUGGAAUUCCAUGUGUAGUGGUAAAAUGCGUAAAUAUAUGGAGGAACACCAGUAGCGAAGGCGGCUUGCUGGGUCUUUACUGACGCUGAGGCACGAAAGCGUGGGGAGCAAACAGGAUUAGAUACCCUGGUAGUCCACGCCGUAAACGAUGAGUACUAAACGUUGGGUAAAACCAGUGUUGAAGUUAACACAUUAAGUACUCCGCCUGAGUAGUACGUACGCAAGUAUGAAACUUAAAGGAAUUGACGGGACUCCGCACAAGCGGUGGAUCAUGUUGUUUAAUUCGAAGGUACCCGAAAAACCUCACC